UAGUUAUUUUUUUUUUUUUUUUGUUUCAGUAAAGUUGCAAUGUUAAAUAAGUUUUGUACCUACACACCUAUUUAAAAAAAAAAUGAAUUUUUUUUUUACAUUACAAUAUCAUAUUAUUUGCAGAGUUUAAUCCAGUCGAAUCAGUCAUUCUUUCCAUUGAUUUUUUUCAAUAUUUUAAAACUAGUACCAAGCUAGUUUAUGUGAUAUAAGUAGGUGAUACAUAUAGACAUUGUAUAAAUAUCAUUAAAGAAAUGUUUUGAAAUCAAUCAAAAU